GGGGUUGUAAGCCAGUCGGUAGGUAGGGUGUAUGGCUACUAACCUAAAGGUUGCGGGUUCGAUUCCUGUUCUUCG